ensembl:lncRNA
UAGUUUUCUAAUGAUCAAUUAGCCUUUUCAAAUUAUGAACUUGGAUUAGCUAACACAACGGGCCAUUGGAACACAGGAGUGAUGGUUGCUGAUAAUGGGCCUCUGUACGCCUAUGUAGAUAUUCCAUUAACAAAAUCAACUGUUUCCAGCUACAAUAGUCAUUUACAACAUUAACAAUGUCUGCACUGUUUUUUUGAUCAAUUUGAUAUUUUAAUGGACAAAAACAUGUGCUUUUCUUUUAAAACAAGGACAUUUCUAAGUGACACAACUUUUGAACGGUAGUGUUAAUAAAAAGAAAAUGCAUAUAGGGGAAACACUGCCCGAGGAGAGUAUCCCAAUACCAGACGAGAAAAACACCUACCAUCAGGUGAUGUCUGGAGGAAAUUGGAUUCAAGUCAAUAUGGGGAACCUAGGGAAACACACUAAGCAUUUCUCAGCAAGCAAUCUCAAGGCUACUCUAUAACCCAGCCUUUUAGCCAGAUAAUGAACAUGGCAUUUUCUAAACCAGAAUGUAAGAGAAUAUAUUUAGUUUUUUCUUUCUUUUUCCCCAUUUCCUUUCUAACAAAUAUUUUCUUUGUUUCACACACAUGCUCCGACUCCCGAGCUAAGCCAAGGGCAAUCCUCCUGCUGUAAUGCAAUAAAGAAUAUAUAUUAAUAUAAUGUACUUUGAAAAAGUACAACUGUAUUAGUCUUGUUUAGGUCAGUUGUAUUUGAAUGUGCUAGCAUGCCACUUUGAAACUCAUGUACUGUAGGAAGGCUUUGUUAUUUUAUAAUAAUCAUAGACUGGUUUGAUCCCUGUGUACAUUCUUCCAUCCUAUUCUUCCCACCAGAGUACUGUAGUAAAGAGGGGACUGUCUUCAACUGUAGCUAACAAGGUUUCGUCUGUGGUGUUCUCGGUUACAAUACCUUCUAGAGCGUUCAAGGGUAUUCUGAAGGUUCUUCAUAUCAUUCAGUUGCCUUUUUACUAGCCUGGGUGCAUGUUUCUGCGUUCGACAUCAACAACGCACAAGCUGACUACGUCCGGGAUUCAAUCAGAUCACGCUUGUAGACAAUGCUGCUUUCAAAGGCAAUUUUACUGGGUUCGUGGAGAUCGCAUUUAAGGUAAACGCUGCGGAUGACGGCUCAAUUGGAAAUGACCAAAGUCAAGCGCGCUCACGCACCGUUUCGUGUUGAAUCCCGGCCUAAAAGCAGAAAGACUCACCCACCGGGCUACCUGUCUGUGUUGGGUGAUCAAAUCAGUAGAUCCAUUUGAACUUUUUUAUCCCUGAUAUACGACUUUCGCUGUGUCCGAAAUGGCACCCUUUGUACUACUUUCGACCUUGGCCCCAUAAUGUUCUGGUCAAAAGUAGGGCACUAUAGAGAAUAGGGUGCCAUUUGGGAAGCAGAUUGUCAUGAGUUGCCAUUGCCCAUGCAGCUUUUCAGUUUUUAUUUCUUUCUAUCCUGUGUAUUUAUACAUAUUUAUUUAUUGAUGCUUUUGUUAUAGCUGAUGUAUGUAUCAUGUGCUGUCAGACAAACUGUCAUGCUGCACAAACCGGCCUUUUCCAUCGUGCUUUCUGCUUCUGGUGAAUUACCUCUUCAGGGCCAGGAAUUUUUUCUGACCAUGUCAUCUGAUCGUGAGACCCAGAGUUGUUCCCUGGUUGGCUCACGUGGUCAGGAAAACCUUGCAUCCCAAGUCAUACUGUAUAUAUAAAUGGAUUUAUUUUAUCAUGUGUGCGCCACACCCGCUCUCUCUAUUUUGAUUGUUGGCUACAUGAAGGUCAAAUGCUAAGUUGACUAGGAGUCUGUUCUGGGCCUAAGAGAGCACAAAAACAUGGUGCCUAGGAUUAACACCUCGACUCAGGGCGCUCGCACACUUGUGCCCUUCAUAGGCUCCCUUUGAUUGGAGUGUACCACAGGAGGUUGGUGGCACCUUAAUUGGGGAGGACGGGCUCAUGGUAAUGGAUUGUGCAGAAUUGGUGGAAUGGUAUCAAAUAUGGUUUUCAUGUGUUUGAUUCCAUUUACACCAUUCUGGCCAUUAUUAUGAGCCGUCCUCGCCUCAGCAGCCUCCACUGGAGUGUAGGUACUUACUUUUUAAGUACAUUAUUUCAUAGGGUAGUUAGUAGUUACAUAAUCUGAUAAGAGAUGUGUGUGAGGAAGAUAUAAUGUAAAAACACUGAUCUAAUAUGUAUCCUAGAUAGGGUAGUCUGGUAAAUGAUUUUGUCUUGUUUUUUUGCUCAGAGACCACUUGAACUAAGCCAGUCAUUUUUUAUAAAUAGUAAACUUACAUCUGACUCUUAAUCAUUCAUACCAGGGCAGUUAACUGUUAACUCUUGUAUAUAUGGUGUAGCAUGCUAGCCGCUAAUUGUAGCCUAUCAGGUCCAGAAGGGGAAUCCAGGGCUGCCGUUGGAUCAGCCGAUGGCGUUGGGCCUGGGACUGCAGCGUAGUCGGCCGGUAUGUCCAGGACAGGGCCAGACGCUGUGCCGAGGUCAGGGCUAGUUCUUGAGGACUGCAGUUGAUGCUGGAACCAGAACAGGAUCGGGGUCAGCCGACUGCAGGUCCAGAGUACAUGGCGCUGGAGGCUCUGGUGCUGGAUGGGACACCAACUGGGACUCUUGCUGGAGAGUCGUCGUGGGCGUCAGGUCCAGGCCGAGCAGUUCUGCAAGGGCAGCAGGUAGUGUAGGGACCAGCACUGGAGUUGAGUCCGGUUAUGGCUGUCCCAGGAGUGACAGUAACUUUAGUGUUGGCUAGGGUGCUGGCUCAGGCACCGGUAGCUGCAGGUCUGGCUGGUUGUCUGCAGGUUGGAGCUCUGAUGCUUGCUGGACUGGCUGCAGCCCUGGCAAUGGCUUCACUGGCUCAGGUGCUGCUUGUGGUGGCGCCUCCUGGGGUGCAGGUUGGGUGCGGAGCUGGCUGCUGGAUGUGCUCAGGUUCCGAUGGUGACCGUUUGACUGUCCGAGUAACUAGCUUGGGAGCACUGGCUGGAGCACUUGUGACACUGGAGACCGCUAGAGUCCUGGUGGUAGUCUUGGCUGAGGAACUGGCGAGGGCACUGGCUGGAGCACUUCCUGGUGCACUAGUGACCACCGGACAUGUUGGAGUCCAGGUGGUGGCAGAACUGGCUGGCGUGCCGGUGGCCACUCUACAUGAGUAAGGGGGUGGCCCGACCGGUGGCCAUGGCACCCAAGCCAUUUGAGGCUGCUGCCCUGUCCUGGGCUCAGGAUGCAGUUGGUCGAUCCAUCGGUGCUCAGGGGCUUUAAAAAAAUAAAAUGUAACCUUUAUUUAACUAGGCAAGUCAGUUAAGACCAAAAUCUUAUUCACAAUGACGGCCUACUGGGGAGUGCAGGCUUUUGGGUGCUGCCAGUAGCCAGGCGGAGGUUGUGGAGCUAGUGGCUGCUGGACGGGCAGGACUCAGGACCGGCGCUGCGGGUUCUCUAUGCCCACAUAGUGCCUUGGGUUUGUCCUGAUGUUACCAUGCCACCCCUCGCAUCUACCUCCCGCAGUUUCUUGAUGACAGCAUCUGUAAUACGCUGGAGCCUCUUCCUUAUACACUGGAGUCUCCGGAGUUCCCGGUCCUCCUCUUCUUGCCGGUGUGUGUGCCUCGUCCUGGGUAUGGUAUGCAGCAUGAACUGCAUCCCUUCACUACUGGUCAUAGUCCAGGACAAUUGCACCUAUCCGGCUCGAAGGACCGUGAAAAAGAAGCGCACCAUUUGGUGGUCUCUGAAAGAGGUACCGGUUUAGAUUAUGGUACAACUUUCCCAGCACCCCGGUUAGAAGGCAUAAAGCUUCUAACCGGGAGCUCCGUGGACAAGCUCACAUACAUGGCAAACAAGAAGGGGAGAAAACUAAUGGAAGUGAUAAUGUAUAGUGGUUCAUUGUCAAAGACUCACUAACACCAGUUGGGAGGCAGUGUUGUCCAUGUGGAAAGGGUCCAGAUAUGAGUUGAGGUGGAGGACAUCAGUUUAGAGCCCUUCUCAACCUGCCCUCCUGGAAAGAACUGAAGAGUUGAGAGGCAGAGUGGGGUUCUGAUGCUUCCAGGCUAAGCCACUGAUUGGCUGACCAGGCCAGCUGACUCUGUUCCCUGGAAACCUGGUCCCUAGCACAUAGGUGUGAAGUGGCCUUCUGCAGCAGGACAAUAGAUGGGUUGGUUGUUUAGCAACAAAAUCGACGCGUGCGCAACUAUGGGUACAAACAGACAGGAUUGACUUAGGUUGUUGACAACAUGUAAACUAUAUUUUGUCGACUGUUUAUUGAAAACCUAAAUAAAUGUUGCACAAUGAGCACUCGUUACAGUUGUUGGUUAGUUACCAAGCUAAUUUUAGCCAUAUUAGCAUUGACAUGAAAUCAGUUAAAACACCUCAAAACAAGACAUGGUAUCAAGAACAAGAUGAAACUAGCUGAAACGAGUCACGAUUCCCCACGUGGCAGUUUCUUGUCAUUGUUUGUAGCUAUCUGGCCAUCCAGAAUCACAACCUCUCACAGACUUCAGCCCCAUUUGAAGCGUGUGCAUUUUCGUGACGUUGUCAGCUAGCCCAUCUAUAGACUCAGGCUACCAACCCUCAGCCUAUCUCAGCUGUAAGAAGUCAAAGUUUGUCUCCAAGUACCAGGGCCAGAGAGAGGUUUUGAAAUAUGUUUUUUUAACAGUAGCUGGGGUCAAAUGUAACACCUAAAAAAUAAACCAAAUUCACUAAACUUAAAAAAAAAAAAACAUGAAUGUUUAUGAAUUAUCAUAGACGCAUGUAAUGAUUUUGCAACAAAUGAGUAUUUUUAUGUACGUAACCAAUGAUUACAGUAUGUUUGAGCAUGGUGGCCAUUCAGUUCCUCUCGAAACAUCUGAAUAGUCUGAUGGUUCCCAGACGACUGUUUACAACUUCUUUGGUAUGCUACUGGACCCCAAGGCUAUUUAGUUAGUAUUUGUAUCAUGCUUGUAAAAAUCACUUGUUUUCAUAAUUUGGCUGCUUGGCUCAGGGUCAUUUUUAACACGACUUUACAAUUGCCAACCACCCUAGCAACCAUGACAAAACCUCAUGUGCCUGUCAAUAUUCAGCCAGUAUAUAGUGAUGAAAAUUAUGCUAGUUUGAAUUAUUGGACCGUAAAGGAAAAAUACAACCGAUUGGGGUGGGGGGGGAACUACAUUCACCCCUAAAAAAAGAAAGAAUAUUUGCCCAUAAAAUGUGCAAAGAGUGAGAUAUUUCGCUGUAACCUUUCAAGCAGGGAGAGAGACCAUGCACUGUGAGUUUCAUCACAGCAAGUUUGGAGAUAUGCAAGGUGUUACAAUUGACCCCCGUUACAACUGCCCCCAGUCUAUCCUACUGUUGUUGAAUGAGCCUAGUUUACGAGGGAAAACGGAUGUCUGAAGUCAGCAACUGAAUAUGUUGAUUUUUAUACACUACAGUAGAAUGCAUUUCAAUGCAUUGUUUUCAUUUUCCAUUUGAUAUUCAUUGCUUUAAAUAUAUGCAUGAAUAAGACCUUAUAGAUGCCCGGUCUUGGUCAUGAUAAUAUUGUUUCAGUUUGAGUAUGUAAUGUGAACUCAGUGGAGCAUGGGACUGCAGGUGUCGCUAGCGUUUUUUUCACCACACUGACCGACCUAGACACCUACUUACUUAACCCUCUUCUACGGCCCAGCUCCAGAUCUACCCCUAGGCACGUGUAGAUCUGAAAGGAUUGGAUCGGCAUAAGCAACACGGCGAUAAAAAUCCAUGUUGCUCACACCUAUCCAAUCUUUUAGAAAGUUCACAACCUUUUUUUCCAAAGUGUGAUUUAAAUGUUGUUGGGUUUUUUUUUGUCACAGAUCUGCACAAAAUACUCUGUCAAAGUGGAAGAAAAAUUAUUAUUUAAAAAAAAAGAAAAAGAAACCCUAUUAAAUCUUGAUUAGAUUCAACCCCCUGACUGUGAGUCUUUCUGGGUAAGUCUCUAAGAGCUUUCCACACCUGUAUUGUGCAUCGUUAGCCCAUGUUAUUAUUUUCAAAAUUCUUCAAGCUCUGUCAAAUUGGUUGUUGAUCAUUGCUAGAAAACCAUUUUCAGGUCAUGCCAUAUGCAGAUUUGAGCCAAAACUGUAACUCUGCCACUCAGGAACAUUCACUGUCUCCUUGGGACUCCCGAGUGGUGCAGCGGUCCAAGGCACUGCAUCUCAUCCCAUAGGGCGGCGCACAAUUGGCCCAGCGUCGUUUGUGUUUGGCCGGAGUAGGCUGUCAUUGUAGAUAAGAAUUUGUUCUUAUCCGAUUUGCCUAGUAAAAUUUCAAUAAGCAAUUCAUGUAGAUUUGGCCUUGUGUUUUAGGUUAUUGUCCUGCUGAAAGGUGAAUUCAUCUCCCAGUAUCUGGUGGAAAAGCAGACUGAAUCAGGUUUUCCUCUUGGAUUUUGCCUAAACUUAGCUCUGUUUCUUUUAUCCUGAAAAACGACCCAGUCCUUAACAAUCACAAGACUACCUAAUAAGAUGACGCAGCCACCACUAUGCUUGAAAAUAUGGAGAGUGGUUCUCAGUAAUGUGACGUGUUGGAUUUGCCCCACACAUAACGAGCUCUUUGUAUUCAGGACAAAAAGUGAAUUGCUUUGCCACAAUUUCUUUUAGAUGACUUUAGUGCCUUGUUGCAAAUAAUGCAUGUUUUGAAAUAUUUUUAUUCUGUAAAAACUUCCUUUUCACUCUGCCAAUAAGGUUAGUACUGUGGAGUAACUACAAUGUUGUUGAUCCAUGGUCAGUUUUUUUUUUUCCUAUUACAGCCGUUUAAACUCAAUUUUAAAGUCACCAUUGGCCUCAUGGUAAAAUACCUAGGUGGUUUCCUUCCUGUCCCGUAACAGAGUUAGAAAGGACGCCUGUAUGUUUGUAGUGACUGGGUGUAUUGCUACACCAUCCAAAGUGUAUUUAAAAACUUCCCCAUCCUCAAAGGGAUAUUCAAUGUCUUUUUUUUUCUGCAUCUACCAAUCUGUGCCCUUUGCGAGGCAUUGGAAUAUCUCCCUGGUCUUUGUGGUUGAAUCUGUGUUUUUUAAAAUUCACUGCUCCACUGAGGGACCUUUACAAUUAUCGGUAUGUGUGGGGUGCAGAGAUGAGGUAGUCAUUCAAAAAUCAUGUUAAACACUUAUUGCACACAGAGUGAGUCCAUGCAACUUAUGUGACUUAACCUAAUGUUUACUCCUGAACUUAUUUUGGCUUGCCAUAAAGGGGUUGAAUAGUUACCUCCAAGGCAUAUUUUAUUAAUUUGUGUGGGAAAGAAAUUAAAAACAUAAUUCACUAUGACAUUAUAAGUUGCGUGUAGGACAGUGAUGAAAAACAUCUCAAUUUAAUCAAUUAAAUUCAGUCUAACACAAAAUGUGGAACGAGUCUAGGGGUGUGAAUAUUUUCUGAAGACACUUCGUGAGGUGUUGAAGGUACAGGCUAUGGGUUGAUUGGGAUGGGAAUACACCAAUUUGGGUGAAGCAACCAAGGCUCUGGAACUCUGUCUGUGUUCAUACAAAUGCUUGAAGCUGAACCCUGUGUCGAUUGACUUGCUGUGAUUGAUUAUUUGUUGUACUUCACAAAUUUAUAUUUUGUAUAUAUUUUUUUUAAAGGUCUAAAUGUAAAAUGAUUUCAGUUUUUUUUGUUGCAAAAGUUGAUUUGUGAAUCGAAU